GCCUCCCCCGUCGCGCCUCCCCCGCCACACCCCGCUGCAAUUCCGCCGACCCCCGACGGAUCCAGUGGUCGACCCAGACAACCGCGGCGAGUAGCCUCGGUGAAGGUGAAAGCGUGAAGAGCAGUGAGGGAGGAGGGGUGCGAAGCGCCAAUCCCCUCCCUGCGCACGGCAGCGGACCAGGUGCGGACGAAGUGCAUGGUGGAGGCGUCGUCGCAGGUGGCGUUGUGCCCGGAGACACCUAGGCAGAGCCUGCGGCCGGGGAAGACGGUGGCCGGCACGGCGGCGAGCGACGCCAACACGCGGUCGCCGGGUCUGCGGUGACACAUUCCUCCCCACCGAGCACGCCAGCGACGCUGCCCUGCCCCUCCACGCCCCGCGAUGACGACCCUGGCGCAGUGUAGGAGCUCUUCACCACGUCGACCACCAAGUGCUCGACAGAUUGCCUUAGCCAGGCAAUAUGCUCAGAGGUCCCAUGUCUGGAAGCUUCAGUAUAUUGCAGAGCUGGAGGGUAGAGUUCAGGCAUUAAAGUCAGAAGGGGUAGAAGUCUCUACUAAAAUGGAGUUUCUUACCCAGCAGAAUAUUAUGCUAGACCUGGAAAAUAAAGCUUUGAAGCAAAGAAUGGAGAGUCUAGCAUAGGAGCAACUAAUUAAACGCUACCCCUCCGGAAGGAUGGCCAGGAGCAGACAGGCGGGCUCGCGCUGCCCGCCUCCUCGCCGUGCUCCCAGCCCUUUCGGUGGCGCGCCCGCUCGACUCGCCCAUGGUCGUCGCGUGGAAGUUGCGGGGGUGUGCAGCGUCGCCGGGGGAGGAGCCAACAGCGCAGCUGGCGAGGCAGCGUGAGGGCGGAUUAUUAAUUUUAUUUUGUUGAAUUUUGUGAUUUACAUAUUCUUGAUUUGUCUACUUAGACUCUUACACUAUGAAGUAUAUAUUAUGUAGCUUUGUAGAAUUAAUGUAGAAUUAGUUUUAAAUAUGUGACUGGAAACGUGCAAAAUCUUUUUUUAUAGUAAAACGUGCAAAAUCACUAAAUAAACAAGCACGUGCAUAACCACUGGUAUCUAAAAUACCCCUCGCCGCCCCGCAUCGAGCGCCCCCCCCCGAGGCCCCGAGCGAAUCAAAUCCUCUUCCUCCUUACCCUCUCUCCGCGGCCGCCGCGCCGAACGCGCACGCCUCCUCCGCCAAAGCCUAGCACGCCGCCGACCUCGACGGAAUCCUUCUAUCGCAGUCAUCUCUCCGUCGCCCUCCUCCUCCUCGUAGCGCGAAGAUCCAUCCGGACCUGGAAUCCUCGUUUUUCUGGUCACAUAAACUUUUGGAUAGGAGGAUAAUACCAUCUCGUUCUUUGUAGUUGGGAUUGAAUAUUGUUCUAAAAAAUGGAGAUCCAGACUUCGGGGAAGCCCAUUGAUUUGCUGAUGGAGAAGGUUCUUUGCAUGAACAUUCUGUCUUCUGAAUACUUUAAGGAGCUCUACAGGCUAAAAACCUAUCAUGAAGUCAUUGAUGAGAUCUACUCUUGUGUCGAACACGUUGAGCCUUGGAUGACUGGCAAUUGCAGGGGCCCCUCCACUGCAUUCUGUCUUCUCUACAAGUUCUUCACCAUGAAGCUUACUGUCAAACAGAUGCACGGUUUGUUGAAGCAUCCUGACUCCCCAUACAUUAGAGCUGUAAGUUUCUGUGACCUGCAUAUUCUUUUUUGUGAAUUUCUUGCUUCAUGGCGCCAUAUCUAUUCAUUAGGCUUGAGGUUAGUGCAUGAAUCCAGAUGUUUAUUGGGAUAUUGCAGAACUCAACUGAGCAAUGUUUUUUUGUGAUAAAAAGUAGGUUUCUAUGAUCUGAAGCAAUAACUUUUGCAUUCUUUGCAAUUCACUGUAAUACAUAAUUUUGUACUUACAUUUUGGUUAUAGACACUAACAGUCCAACGACUUAUUUCUUUGGAUGGACUUGUGCCUGAACUUUUUGGUCAUAGGACACAGGGAUGACAAAGUUUGCAAGCGGGUUCAUAGUGUACCAGUCUGUGCUUUGGAGUUAUCGGUUUCUUGUAUCUUCGUUAUGUUGCAGAUCCAAAGACUCUGUGGACAUGGUAUGAGCCCUAUUUGAGGGAUGAUGAGGAAUUCUCCCCUGGAUCUAAUGGCCGUGUGACUACCAUGGGUGUUUAUGUCCGUGAUCUUAUACUUGGACAGUAUUAUUUUGAUAGUCUCCUUCCAAGAAUUCCUCUUCCAGUAACUCGUCAGGUAACAGCCAAUCUUGAGAAGAUGAAAUUACCCACCAAGCUUUCUGGAGCUACUGGAGACUCCAGUCGUCAGGGAUCAGAAGAUAAUGCACGUCGCCCUCCUUCUGUGAAAGCCUCUCUGUCAGUUUCCUUUGGACAGCGUGCUCCACACCGGGCUUCCACCAGAGACUCAUCCCCUGUUCGGCGAACCAUCACCCAUGAUGAUACUCGAAGAUCGUACUCACCAUCUCGUCGCAGUGGUAGUCGUGAGGGUCCUGACGGUGAUCGUUCUGACCGAGAACUUGACCGUUCUAGCCGUGACCGGGACCGUUCGAGCCGGGAUCAGGAGCGCUUAAGCCGGGACCGUGAUCGUGACAGGGAUGUCAGAGAUUAUCAUCGACGUGGGCGUGACAGCAGGGACCGUGACUACUACAGGUCCAGGCAUUCAGAUGAAAGACGAGAUGACAGAAGGGAUCGUGAAAGUAGCAGGCAUAGGCGCUCUAGCUCUCGUCAUAGGAGCAGAAGCCGGAGCCGAAGCAGGAGCCAGAGCCGGAACGAACAGCGAUCCAGCCCAUUUGGGGAUGGAAAUAAAGAGAAGGCAACCACGGUCUCAAGCAACCUAGCAAAGCUGAAGGAUCUCUAUGGUGAUGUUACUGAGAAGAAGGAAGAUGGCGAUUCUGAAAAGCUUCGCCGUGAUUCAUGCGCUGAGGAGGUCAUCAGGUUAGGAGGCCCUAGAUGGAGGUAAAUUCAGACCUGUAAUACUGUGGUCUCUACCUGUCAAUGUGCUGCGUUGGUUGAGUCUCGAAAAGCUCUACUUGUUCUUAGACCUGCUAUUGCUGAGUUUUAUUUUGAAUCUCGACUUGUAAUCACCGAGAGUAGUCAUUAACGGAUUUUUCAUAUGCUGCUCCCAUGCAUCUGAAGAUAUUGGAACAUACUGUAUAAACACAUGGUAUCCCGUGCUUUGUGCUUGCCUGAUGCUAAUGGAAAACGAAGGUAAAAUGUUUCAUUCAACUUUCAAA